AGCGAACGCUGGCGGCAGGCCUAACACAUGCAAGUCGAACGAACCCUUCGGGGUUAGUGGCGGACGGGUGAGUAACACGUGGGAACGUGCCUUUAGGUUCGGAAUAACUCAGGGAAACUUGUGCUAAUACCGAAUGUGCCCUUCGGGGGAAAGAUUUAUCGCCUUUAGAGCGGCCCGCGUCUGAUUAGCUAGUUGGUGAGGUAAUGGCUCACCAAGGCUACGAUCAGUAGCUGGUCUGAGAGGAUGACCAGCCACAUUGGGACUGAGACACGGCCCAAACUCCUACGGGAGGCAGCAGUGGGGAAUCUUGCGCAAUGGGCGAAAGCCUGACGCAGCCAUGCCGCGUGGAUGAUGAAGGUCUUAGGAUUGUAAAAUUCUUUCACCGGGGACGAUAAUGACGGUACCCGGAGAAGAAGCCCCGGCUAACUUCGUGCCAGCAGCCGCCGUGAGAC
rnacentral:rRNA from 1 species